rnacentral:rRNA from 1 species
AUUGAACGCUGGCGGCAUGCUUUACACAUGCAAGUCGAACGGUAACAGGGUGCUUGCACCGCUGACGAGUGGCGAACGGGUGAGUAAUGCGUCGGAACGUGCCGAGUAGUGGGGGAUAACGCAGCGAAAGUUGUGCUAAUACCGCAUACGUACUGAGGUAGAAAGUGGGGGACCUUCGGGCCUCACGCUAUUCGAGCGGCCGACGCCUGAUUAGCUAGUAGGUGAGGUAAAGGCUCACCUAGGCGACGAUCAGUAGCGGGUCUGAGAGGAUGAUCCGCCACACUGGGACUGAGACACGGCCCAGACUCCUACGGGAGGCAGCAGUGGGGAAUUUUGGACAAUGGGCGAAAGCCUGAUCCAGCCAUGCCGCGUGUCUGAAGAAGGCCUUCGGGUUGUAAAGGACUUUUGUCAGGGAGGAAAUCCCUAGUGCUAAUAACACUGGGGGAUGACAGUACCUGAAGAAUAAGCACCGGCUAACUACGCGCCAGCAGCCGCCGCAG